GACGAACGCUGGCGGCGUGCCUAAUACAUGCAAGUCGAACGCUUCUUUCCUCCCGAGUGCUUGCACUCAAUUGGAAAGAGGAGUGGCGGACGGGUGAGUAACACGUGGGUAACCUACCCAUCAGAGGGGGAUAACACUUGGAAACAGGUGCUAAUACCGCAUAACAGUUUAUGCCGCAUGGCAUAAGAGUGAAAGGCGCUUUCGGGUGUCGCUGAUGGAUGGACCCGCGGUGCAUUAGCUAGUUGGUGAGGUAACGGCUCACCAAGGCCACGAUGCAUAGCCGACAUGAGAGGGUGAUCGGCCACACUGGGACUGAGACACGGCCCAGACUCCUACGGGAGGCAGCAGUAGGGAAUCUUCGGCAAUGGACGAAAGUCUGACCGAGCAACGCCGCGUGAGUGAAGAAGGUUUUCGGAUCGUAAAACUCUGUUGUUAGAGAAGAACAAGGACGUUAGUAACUGAACGUCCCCUGACGGUAUCUAACCAGAAAGCCACGGCUAACUACGUG
rnacentral:rRNA from 1 species